rnacentral:misc_RNA from 1 species
GGUAGCGGUGGCAUCAUCCCCAGUGCUAAUGGAGAGUAGAAGAAGAGAUCCAGAGAAGGUGCCAAUGUAGAUUAGGGAUUGUGCAUCGGAAAUUGAAGAGACGGCAAGAGAUCGGAGUGAAGUGACAGAAUAGGAGGAGAGGUCAAUGUUAGAGAGAGGUUCUAGGACGGUUCGAGCAGAGGGAUCGGGCUUGGCCAUCGAAUUGUGAAGAGAUUGUUAGGUGGGUAUUUGCAGAGGAUUAUGACUUGGUUGAGAAAGCCAUGAAAUUGAAGAAGAAAGAAGACUAGGAUGCUUCAACUCCG